rnacentral:rRNA from 1 species
UACAGAGGGUGCGAGCGUUGUUCGGAAUUACUGGGCGUAAAGGGUGCGUAGGCGGGUCUUUAAGUCAGGGGUGAAAUCCUGGAGCUCAACUCCAGAACUGCCUUUGAUACUGAGGAUCUUGAGUUCGGGAGAGGUGAGUGGAACUGCGAGUGUAGAGGUGAAAUUCGUAGAUAUUCGCAAGAACACCAGUGGCGAAGGCGGCUCACUGGCCCGAUACUGACGCUGAGGCACGAAAGCGUGGGGAGCAAACAGG